rnacentral:lncRNA from 1 species
GCUCAUCUCUUCCCCACAAGACAUGAUGUAGGAAAGGCCUAGGCAGUGAUGUCCUGGUAAAUAUUUAACAACUGGAAUGGGAUAGGGGAACGGGGCCAACCUGAUUUGUAGCACUUGCAGGCUUCCACAGAGUAAACACUCCACUGUGGGCAAUGUGAAGCUAUCAAAGUUGGAGUUGUACAGUAGCACACCAUUCUAUAAUACUUCCACUGUAACAGGUACAAUAGAUAAUAGUAAAAUACAGUAAAAACAAGUGGGGAAUGAUGAGUUUGGAGUCUCUACGAUCUUUGUUUUUAAUAUUUAUUUAUAUGUAAAUUUAUAUAAAGUGAAAGUCACUCAGUCAUGUCCAACUGUUUGUGACCCUACGGGCUGUAGCCCACCAGACUUCUCUGUCCAUAAGAUUCUCCAGGCCAGAAUACUGGAGUGGAUAGCCAUCCACUUCUCCAGGGGAUCUUCCCAACCCAGGGAUCAAACCCAGGUCUCCCGNNNNNNNNNNNNNNNNNNNACCAUUUGAGCCACCAGGGAAUCCCUGGUAAAUAUAUAAAUGCAUAAAAUUUAUAUAAUUUUAUUUUUUAUGGCUGCGGAGGGUCUUUGUUGCUGCAAGUGGGGGCUACUCUCUACUUGUGGUGUGUAGGCUUCUCACUGCAGUGACCUCUUGUUGCAGAGCACGGGCUCUAGGGCGUUCAGGCUCAGUAGCUGUGGCCCUAGGGCGUUCAGGCUCAGCAGCUGUGGCUCUAGGGUGUUCAGGCUCAGUAGUUGUGGUACUACUGAGUAAGUUGUGGCUUACUUGCCUUGCAGCUUGUGGAAUCUUCCUGGACCAAGGAUUGAACCCAUAUCCCUGCACUGGCGGCUGGAUUCUUAACCACUGGACCACCAGGGCAGUCUUAAUUUAAUUUCUAAUGACCACAUGCAACAACCAGCUUCCAUGAUUCCUGAAAAGGCAAUAACCAGCUCUCACUGAGCUAGUGCAAGCUUUUCCAGCCCAGCACUGGGCCUGGGUAACCCAGGCCCCUGGCGGCAACUCCUUUGGCUGCCUUGGGGCUCCUGCGCACAGGGGUCAUUGUCUUUCUAGUCUGUGUUUCCCUCUAGUGGACAGAAGAGUCAUUCCGGGUGAUUCUCUGGCUCCACCUGUGCUCAGAGCUCAGCACCCAGGUGUGGAUGUCACUUUUCAUGGGAAAAGUUUCUCAAGGGGAGUUCAUAUGGUUUCACAAUUAUCUUCACGCACCAGGCAUGUAGCAUUCCAAUUCUAUGAGGGGCAGUGCCUGCAGGGCCCCUGGGCCACAGCCAUGACCGCAACCUCCAGAGCAUCUCAAAGUCCCAUCUCACCCACCAUGUGACCGCUUAGGCUUGCUACAUCAGCUCUCCCUCACUCCCAUCAGGUCUAUCUCUGAAAAAGGCAAACUUG